rnacentral:rRNA from 1 species
AUUGGAAUGAGAACAAUUUAAAUAACUUAACGAGGAUCAAUUAGAGGGCAAGUCUGGUGCCAGCAGCCGCGGUAAUUCCAGCUCUAAUAGCGUAUAUUAAAGUUGUUGCAGUUAAAAAGCUCGUAGUCGGAUGUCGGGCUCGGACAGGCUGUCGGCUUCGGUCGGACGGCAGGCUCGGGUCUUUCUGCCUGAGGAUCCAUUUCAUUCACUUGGGGUGGGGACGCAGGCCGUUUACUUUGAAAAAAUUAGAGUGUUCAAAGCAGGCCUACGCUUGAAUACAUUAGCAUGGAAUAAUGGAAUAGGACUUUGGUGCUAUUUUGUUGGUUUAUGGGACCGAAGUAAUGAUUAACAGGGACAGUUGGGGCCGUUUAUAUUUCGUUGUCAGAGGUGAAAUUCUUGGAUUUACGAAAGAUAAACUUCUGCGAAAGCAUUCGGCAAGGAUGUUUUCAUUGAUCAAGAACGAAAGUUAGGGGAUCGAAGACGAUCAGAUACCGUCGUAGUCUUAACCAUAAACUAUGCCGACUAGGGAUCAGUGGAUGUCAAUUUGCGA